GAUACAUCCUGUCGGUCCCGCUUGGCAGUUCUCAAUCAGAAGCUUACUGAACUGGAGAGGCAGGUUGAAUACAUCGAGGCGCGGAUUGCGAAUAAUGAGUAUGGGCAGCUGAAUGAUCAACAAAUAGAUGAAAUUGAGUUAAGCUCAGAAAAUCUAGUAUGAUCCAAUCUGUAGGUCGAACAAUUGUGAGCCGUAGCACCAUGAUAACCAAAGGGGAAACACUGUCAUGAGCAGAGACUGGGACCAGGUGACUUGGUGGCCUCUACUGUGGGAGUUGAUGUCCUGUCUUCUGUACACCAAGGAACUCAAGGCUCAAUAUUAUGAUCAGUGCAACUGUGUAUAUUAUAGAUGGAACUUUUCCCUCAUAGUGAGGACUUUUUUAAAAACCGCACACAAGAGAAACUGACAUUCUACUCAAACUUACCAUGUUGACUCUGCUUUUAUAUGCUGUGCAUGACAUAUCCACCUACAAGUUCUUGGUGGAAAGGCAGAAAAAUAGUUGGGUUUUUUUUGUUGGGGGGGGGGGGGGGGUGUUUGCCUAUACUGCUUUAUUAUCAAAUUAAUUUCUUACUGGACUGCCUGUGGUCCUUCAUCUUGGAGUGUAACCUUAGGUUAAGUUUCUUAUUGCCAGAGCCAUAUUUCGAUUUGAACAGCUGGCGGCUGGUAGGUGUUCUGACUGUCUUGUUAUCAUCUAUUUCUUUCAAUAUUACUAUUUUCUGUAGGCCUAUCUGUGCCUAGCAAAAUAAGGCUAUUACACGCUGACUCUCAGAAGAAGAUGAUACAACAUUUGGUUUUUAAUUGCUUUCACAUUCAUUUCCCUUGGCCCCUUUUUUGAUAGUUGCAUGCGCACACAUUGGCUAGUUCUUAAGUAGAUCUGUCACUAUAGAUUUCUUUCUUCUGCAUUUUCUCUUCUGUUGUGACUUAAUCAAUAUCAGUCUCCAGAAGCACAAACGCCUACUGAAUGGUCCUUGAGCAUUUGGUGCUCUGUACUUCAGUAGAAUGGGAAUUUCCAGCAUAUAAUGAGGGAGUGCCAUUCGUAUUGCAAAGUUAUGUGUAGGUCCUAGAGAUCCAAGUGCUAAUAAAAGGGUGCAAAAAAAAGUUAGAUAUGUGUUCCUCAGCUUUAACACUGUGUAGGUAUUUAUUUCCCUGCAAGGGUUGAGAGUGUGACAGCAGAAAAAAUAUUUAUGGAAUUUUGCUUUGGGUAACAAUACUUGAUAUGUUGCUUCAUUUUCCUACAAAACCAUUUUUCCUUUUUGUUUGCCGUUUUCUGUUUUCAAGACCCUCGUUUUACAUGGUUUUGUUAAAUCUGGUUUGCAGAAUGUGUAUCUUUACCAAUAUUUAUGGGGGUCUUUUUUUUUCUUCUUUUUUUUAUAUGAUUUGAAAAUGGUGUGUCAUUGAUGGACAUGAGUGUACUUGAAUUUUUCAAUUUAGUGACAUAGAUAUAAUAUAAAGUUUAAAACCUGUUGCGAUGUUAUAGCAUGCUCACUGCUUUGUCCAUGGAACACAUAUUUUUGGUCCUUGUGUACAGAUGCUGGCGUGAGCUGCUCGGGAACACAACACUCUCAGAUGUGUAUGUGCAUUAACUCAUGCAGGUGUGUUGGGACCAUGGAAGAAUCCAGAACUUUGAGAGAAUGCUGGCAGGAAUAGGUUUACUGAGGAGAGAGAGAAGCACAUUCUUUGGGAGAGAAUGGGGAAAAUAUAUUCCUGGGUAAAAGUUUUUCUGUUUUGUAUGAAUGAAAAUCGGUUUAGAGUCUUGGUCUGAAAGAUUUUCUUCCUUGUCUUUGCUGAAUGUGUUAUCAUCAUCAUCCGACUAAUAACAGAAAUAUUUUUGGAGUGAAAAGACCGGAGUUGAAAUGUGUGUAGGAUAAGAUGUCUGUGUAAAAUAGUCCGGUGAGUGGCAAUUGUGUAUAACAGGUUUAUGUUUGCUUGUUGUAUGAAAUAACAGGACGAUUGUUUGAGUGUUUGGUGAAGUUUGAAAGCUGUGCAAGGCCUUUUUGAGUGCGUGGUGUAGUGACUGAGGUUUGUUUAAAGUGCCUGGAAGUCUUUGGGGUGAUGUGAUGAGUGCUGUUUGAAAGGAAGGUGAGGGUCAGAUGCUUUGCUCUUGUUCUGUGCUUUGCACCAGAAUGUGAUACCGUCUCAUAAAAGGGGCUGUGGGCGGCCUUUGUUCCCAUUGCAACUCCAUGUGUGGCAUGCUUCAUGCUUAAGCGUGAAUAUGGCUGUUUGGAAAAUGAAUGCCCCUGGCUUCAUCUGCAGUCUUGAAGUUGAAGCCCAUAUAAUCACUCACCAGUGAAGGACUAUGUCCAACCCAGCACCAUGCACAUAUAUGGGUACACCUUUUUUUUGAGAGUUAAGUUGUCUGGCAUUCACGCCUGAUGGAUAUAUGUGUAUGUUUAUGGACAUUUAUUGUAAUUGAAGUUGAAGUGUACACGAUUUCAAGCUGUUGUUGUUUUGUACACAUGUAUUAUUUAAGAACUCAAAAGUAUGCAAGGCUGUAUUGCAUGCACAGCAAUUUUCUGAAGUGAAUGAGUUUUUUGCAAAUAAAACAUUCUUCCUAGUGAAGAUUCAAGUCAUUUAUUUACUGUAUGUUAAGUUGACUGAAUGUUUGAUUACUCCACUUAGAGUCAUGGGCAGUGAAGCAUUAAAUUUGUACUUCACGUCCA
rnacentral:misc_RNA from 1 species